CUUUUUAAGCGUCUACGGUCUUCCAAAGACGUUCAACCCGGUGACAACACCGGAUCCACAAUGACCAGUCCGUACCUACACGGAAGCUUCACCCAACAAACACAGCGGCAACACGGACUGUCCCGGCAGAGUUCUUCUUCCUUGGAACGUGUUGGAGUGGGUUCGUGAACAACGUCUUUGAUUGUGACCUGGCUUGAAUCUAGAGGAAAACAUUUUUUUAUAAGGGACAUUACUGUCCGCUGCAGGCUUGGACGUCUUUUUCGUGAUUUCCAUAUCUCGGGUUCCAGUCUCAUUGUGAAGUUGGUCGGCACGAAGGCUUCCCAGAUGCU